AUGUCGUGGGAGGAGCCCGGCAUCCCGCAGCUGAGCCUGAGCGGCUUCAGCUCCCUCGCCUCCAUCUCCAGCACCGCCGCUCCGCCCGCCCGCCUGCCCUCCCUCUCCCUCAGCAUCGGCACCGGCGGGGAGGACCAGCAGCCGGGCGUCAGCAGCGACGACGGCCACAAGAGCGUCCGGGCGAUGAAGAACCGGGAGUCGGCGCUGCGGUCCAGGGCCAGGAAGAGAGCCUACACGCAGGAGCUCGAGAAGGAGGUCCGCCGGCUCGUCGAGGACAACCUCAAGCUCAAGCGACAGUGCAAACAGCUUCAGUCGGAGAUUGCCGCGCUCACCGCCCAGCAGGCAAGCAGCAAGCAGAGCAGCCCGCACCGGAGAACUUCGUCCACUCAGUUCUAG
rnacentral:rRNA from 1 species